rnacentral:sRNA from 1 species
AGUGUCAGCCUCUCGGCGGGAGGAGGCGGCGGCGGAGGAGGAGCAGGGGGAGGGCUGUCAAAUUCGGGAGCCAGAUUUUUUUCCCUUCCCCUGGCAAUCCCUUCCGCUUCCCCGGCUCCCGGCGUGACAUCUGCGGGCCGGGAACCUGCAUGUGUGUGCGCGCGAAGGAGCGGAAGAAUGGCAGUGCUCAAACUCACCGACCAGCCACCAUUGGUUCAGGCAAUCUUCAAUGGUGAUCCAGAGGAGAUCCGGAUGCUCAUCCAUAAAACUGAAGAUGUGAAUACUCUGGAUUCUGAGAAACGAACCCCUCUUCACGUGGCCGCAUUUCUGGGAGAUGCAGAGAUCAUUGAACUCCUGAUUUUGUCAGGAGCUCGUGUAAAUGCCAAGGACAACAUGUGGCUGACUCCACUGCACCGGGCUGUUGCUUCCAGAAGCGAAGUGAGUGAUUACCAUAUUUAAUCUAUUACCUAUUGUGCCUAGAAAAAGAAAAAUUCUUGCUAGUGAAUUAAGAAUCCUUACUGGUAAGCAAAAGGCUUUUACCCCUAAUGUAAGAGGGUUACCCAAAAUGAACAGCUGUUUAUUUGAGUAUCUCCUGCAUGCCAGACAUAGUGCUGAGUGGGGCUGGGGAGUGUCUGGAGUAGUUCAACAUGGACAGCAUGAUCCUGAAUUUCAGUGAGUUCUCAGCCUGGGGAGGAGGCAAAGCAGAAAGCAGAUCAGUACAAUAUCAUCAUUGACUUGCAGGAGAAAGCAACUAACUGCCUGCUUGAAUAGAGGAAAUCUUCCAAGAAGAGAUGUCAGUUGAGCUGGUCCUUAAAGGAUGAGUAAGGACUUAGCAGGCCAGGACAAGGAGGGUGGGCUGAGGCAAGGAAGUGAGUGAAUGGGGGCCUCAGUGAGGUAUAACUGGAACUCAGGCUAUAGUAGAAGGUAAAUCUGAUAGUGGAGGUUGGGCCAGAUGGCAGAGGGCUUGGAAUCCUCUGAGCAAUGGAGAAUGGUCACAGCAGGGGAGUGAUAUGCUCAGAUCUGUGUUUCAGAGAACCUUUGUGGUGGCAGCAUGUGAAUGGGCUGAGGGGGAGGGGUCUAAGGGAGGCAGGCCAAUAAGAGACCAAAAGAGGCUUGAAGCAGCUGGGAUGAGGGCAUAAAGCUGAGUCCAUGAUUUGGGAGCUCAUUAGAGGUAAACCUGGCAGGAUUUAGUACCUAGUAGGAGCGAGGUGGGAAAGAAGCUGGUAGGUAAAUGGUGAUGCUGUUAACAGAAGAGGCACAGAGCAGGGGAGCAGGGGCCGGGAGGCUGGUGGGUCCUGUUUGCUAACGCUGAGUUCAGCAAACAUGUCGUUGGAGUGGGAGCUCCAUGAGGGCAGGGAUAUGUACUUUGUUCCUGGAUGUAUCGCAAGCCUGGUACAUUCUAGGCAUCCAAGAAAUAAUUUGUUGUUGAAUGCUGGAAAUUCAGGUGAAGAUGACUGAUAGAUUAUCUAUAAUUAUUUAUACAAGUCUAGCACUCAGGGACAGGGAGGAUGAUCAUCAAACCGUGGUAAAUGCGUCAGGUAGCUCAGGGGAAGUAUAAAGGAUGAGAAGAUCAAUGUGAAGGCAGGGGUGGCAGGGAACGCUGGUGAAUGUCAGCCUUGAAGCCUGGUCAGAGGAGUUGCCCAUUAUCCAGGGAUACAAGAGGUUCAAACCUUGUAUGCACUUGGUGCUGGAUGACUGACCUCCAUAGCUGAGUUUACCAAAUGCAGCUUCUCCUCUGCUACUGGAGAAGGUGAUGUUCUCCAGGUACACCUAGGAGCAAAAGGUCUUACUGAGAAUGAAUCUACAGAAGUUGCAAGUGUCUUUGGUCGUUAUUGGUGUCAGCUUUUCCUCUUUGGCAACUAUCUGGAAAUUUCAAAAUAUACUUGGUAGGUGACAGCUUAGUAGUCAUAGUUUUUCUUGCUGCACUUUGUGAUUUUAGUAGUUUUUAAAAGGGGUUGGUUGUGUUCUCCUUCCAAAUAUCCCUCAUGGAAUGAGAGAGGUCAAUAAUCCUAAAUUGUCUGGCUCAGACCCUGGAGAAUUCAGAAUCUUCUCAUGGUCCCACAUUUUAUUUCCGUUUUGUCUGGGAAAACGAGGGCAGUGAGCUGACUGAGUAGGUAUUACCAGCUUUAUGAGACCAACCCCUUCAUAGAGGAGUAUUUCCUGGCCUUUUAAGACCACUUGGUCUUUAGUAAAUUUAAGUGUCUCUUUAAAAAUAUAUAUGGAUUUGUUUCCUCUUUAACAAGAACCAGAUCUUUUUAGUUGGGAAAAUAAUUCAAUAUGCACCUCCUAUAUGCCAGGCACCUUUUCUUUGUAGCUGAUGGAGCUACAAAAAACACUAAGACCCAUGGUCUCUGCCCUUAGGAAGUGUGUAGUCUAGUGGAAAAGAAAGACACAAAAAAAGGUGAUUUCAUUACUCUGUGACUUUUCCCAAGUGAUCUCUACCUUUGUUAGCUCAACUAGCUUCAAAGACUUCAAUCCUCAAAACAUCCGUUUUCCAUCAACAACCAGUCUGCAUUCUGUAAGUAUCUUUAGUGUGUUUGAAUCUAGUCAGCCUAAUGAUGGACUGACCUUUCUAUCUGAGAAAGGCUUUUGUUGCUUCUCCAAGUAACUAGCUCCCUCUGUAGGUUUGCAGGGAGGAAAAAAAAAUCCCUUGCCAGGUAGGAAUUAAAUGCAAACAAACCCUGAAUUGUAAAUAAUUGGGUCACAUAUGAGUUUAUGAUGUCUUUAUAUUAGUAUCUGUCACAGCAAGUUGGAUAGUUUCUUAUGAAAAUUGGAGUCUCGGCUGGGCACAGUGGCUCAUGCCUGUAAUCCCAGCACUUUGGGAGGACCAGGUGGGUGGAUCAUGAGGUCAGGAGUUCAAGACCAGCCUGACCAACAUGGAGAAACCCCGUCUCUGCUAAAAAUACAAAAUUAGCUGGGCGUGGUAGUGCAUGCCUGUAACCCCAGCUACUCGGGAGGCUGAGGCAGGAGAAUCACUUGAACCUAGGAGGCAGAGGUUGCAGUGAGCCGAGAUCACGCCAUUGCACUCCAGCCUGGGCAAAAAGAGUGAAACUCCAUCUC